GCUUUAAAUUGAACCUAGCCCAACUCAAACUGGACAAUAUGUACUCGGGCAUUAUUAGGAGUCGGAACCUUCCACCGUUCGAGCCGUUUUAUGUUUAAGGUCUUUUGUCUUUGGCCCAUCUUUAAUUAACGUUUCGAUUCAAGCUUGGACUCCGAGCUCCACCGAAGACAGAACAUGACGUGGCGUCACUGCUUGCCUACCAUGCGCUGGCAUGGAUUCUAGCCUGACAGCACUGGCAGGUAUGAGCCCAGGGGUUCGCGCGGUUCUCGGUCGGAGGCCUCAACGGACUGGUCUAUGGCGUCACUACUCUCGCAGGUUCUCUCUCUCGCACUUUUUCAAGUUUUGCGGAUAUGUAAGAAGCAAAGUCUAGAUCAAUAAGAUCUCGGGGAGAUUUGUUUCUGAUGCUCAAGCUUGCUUAUUUACAUGGGCCUGUGAAGAAUGUGUGUUCCAUCCAAGUGAAAUUUAUCCGACAUGGACAAUGGAAGCACCAUCUGAUUCUCUUAAAGAUAUUCACAUUUGUACCGGUUGGCAAUCCAUUCCUAGGCCAGCAGAGCAGAUGGUGAUAGCAUAGUUGAUUUGCUUUCUCGUUUUAUGUAUUGCAUUACUUGUACCUCUGAUCUCAAUAGGGUUUAUCUUCUCUCUGAAAAAAUGAAAAGAAAAGAAAUUGUUGGAAUCAACUGUUUGUUGACUCUUUUGAGUUAGUAGACCCCUCCCAGAUCCAUAAAAGGCUAAGAUUUCCCGAUCGAAAAUAUCAACCAUUCAAGCAUGAAGCUUUUUCUUUUUGUCUUAUCUUUUUAUAUAGAUAAUUUUAUAAAUCAAAUCAGUUCAAGUGAAUUCUAGUCUUCUAAAAUUUUGUUUUA